GACAGAGGGUGCAAGCGUUAAUCGGAAUUACUGGGCGUAAAGGGCACGUAGGUGGAUCAGUAAGUUGGAUGUGAAAUCCCUGGGCUUAACCUAGGAAUUGCAUUCAAAACUGCUAGUCUAGAGUACAGUAGAGGGAAGUGGAAUUUCCGGUGUAGCGGUGAAAUGCGUAGAUAUCGGAAAGAACAUCAGUGGCGAAGGCGACUUCCUGGACUGAUACUGACACUGAGGUGCGAAAGCGUGGGGAGCAAACAGG
rnacentral:rRNA from 1 species